AGAGUUUGAUCAUGGCUCAGGACGAACGCUGGCGGCGUGCCUAAUACAUGCAAGUAGAACGCUGAAGAGAGGAGCUUGCUCUUCUUGGAUGAGUUGCGAACGGGUGAGUAACGCGUAGGUAACCUGCCUUGUAGCGGGGGAUAACUAUUGGAAACGAUAGCUAAUACCGCAUAACAAUGGAUGACACAUGUCAUUUAUUUGAAAGGGGCAAUUGUUCCACUACAAGAUGGACCUGCGUUGUAUUAGCUAGUAGGUGAGGUAAUGGCUCACCUAGGCGACGAUACAUAGCCGACCUGAGAGGGUGAUCGGCCACACUGGGACUGAGACACGGCCCAGACUCCUACGGGAGGCAGCAGUAGGGAAUCUUCGGCAAUGGGGGCAACCCUGACCGAGCAACGCCGCGUGAGUGAAGAAGGUUUUCGGAUCGUAAAGCUCUGUUGUAAGUCAAGAACGGGUGUGAGAGUGGAAAGUUCACACUGUGACGGUAGCUUACCAGAAAGGGACGGCUAACUACGUGCCAGCAGCCGCGGUAAUACGUAGGUCCCGAGCGUUGUCCGGAUUUAUUGGGCGUAAAGCGAGCGCAGGCGGUUUGAUAAGUCUGAAGUUAAAGGCUGUGGCUCAACCAUAGUUCGCUUUGGAAACUGUCAAACUUGAGUGCAGAAGGGGAGAGUGGAAUUCCAUGUGUAGCGGUGAAAUGCGUAGAUAUAUGGAGGAACACCGGUGGCGAAAGCGGCUCUCUGGUCUGUAACUGACGCUGAGGCUCGAAAGCGUGGGGAGCGAACAGGAUUAGAUACCCUGGUAGUCCACGCCGUAAACGAUGAGUGCUAGGUGUUGGAUCCUUUCCGGGAUUCAGUGCCGCAGCUAACGCAUUAAGCACUCCGCCUGGGGAGUACGACCGCAAGGUUGAAACUCAAAGGAAUUGACGGGGGCCCGCACAAGCGGUGGAGCAUGUGGUUUAAUUCGAAGCAACGCGAAGAACCUUACCAGGUCUUGACAUCCCGAUGCUAUUUCUAGAGAUAGAAAGUUACUUCGGUACAUCGGUGACAGGUGGUGCAUGGUUGUCGUCAGCUCGUGUCGUGAGAUGUUGGGUUAAGUCCCGCAACGAGCGCAACCCCUAUUGUUAGUUGCCAUCAUUCAGUUGGGCACUCUAGCGAGACUGCCGGUAAUAAACCGGAGGAAGGUGGGGAUGACGUCAAAUCAUCAUGCCCCUUAUGACCUGGGCUACACACGUGCUACAAUGGUUGGUACAACGAGUUGCGAGUCGGUGACGGCGAGCUGAUCUCUUAAAGCCAAUCUCAGUUCGGAUUGUAGGCUGCAACUCGCCUACAUGAAGUCGGAAUCGCUAGUAAUCGCGGAUCAGCACGCCGCGGUGAAUACGUUCCCGGGCCUUGUACACACCGCCCGUCACACCACGAGAGUUUGUAACACCCGAAGUCGGUGAGGUAACCUUUUGGAGCCAGCCGCCUAAGGUGGGACAGAUGAUUGGGGUGAAGUCGUAACAAGGUA
rnacentral:rRNA from 1 species